rnacentral:rRNA from 1 species
CCUACGGGUGGCAGCAGUGAGGAAUAUUGGUCAAUGGACGCAAGUCUGAACCAGCCAUGCCGCGUGCAGGAAGACGGCUCUAUGAGUUGUAAACUGCUUUUGUACGAGGGUAAACGCAGAUACGCGUAUCUGUCUGAAAGUAUCGUACGAAUAAGGAUCGGCUAACUCCGUGCCAGCAGCCGCGGUAAUACGGAGGAUUCAAGCGUUAUCCGGAUUUAUUGGGUUUAAAGGGUGCGUAGGCGGUCGGAUAAGUUAGAGGUGAAAUCCCGAGGCUCAACUUCAGAAUUGCCACUGAUACUGGUCGGCGUGAGAAUAGUUGAGGUAGGCGGAAUGUGUGGUGUAGCGGUGAAAUGCUUAGAGAUCAUGAAGAACGCCGAUUGAGAAGGCAGCGUACGAAACUGCUACUGACAUUGAGGCACGAAAGUGUGGGGAGCAAACAGGAUGAGAUACCCUAGUAGUC